rnacentral:lncRNA from 1 species
GUGGACUCAGAUAUCCCAGUUCAAAGCAGAUAUUGUGGAUUAUGUGCCUUGAUAUCUGCUUUGAAAAUCUGAAUUAUAUGGCAGUGUAGAAGGGGCCUGAUUUAUUUAUAAGCAAGUGGACUUUAGAUUCCUGAUGUUCCACCUGAACAUCAGGAAGAACUUCCUCACUGUGAGAGCUGUUCGACAGUGGAACUCUCUCCCCGGGGCCGUGGUGGAGGCUCCUUCCUUGGAGGGAGGCUUUUAAGCAGAGGCUGGAUGGCCAUCUGUCGGGGGUGCUUUGAAUGCGAUUUCCUGCUUCUUGGCAGGGGGUUGGACUGGAUGGCCCAUGAGGUCUCUUCCAACUCUACUAUUCUAUGAUUCUAUGAUUCUACUGGAACUCCAUAUUGCAUCUCACACACAUACUGGGAAAUUGCAUUGGUAAAGGCCAUCCAUUGAAAUAAAUUUAUUGGGAGUAAAGUGUAGUGCAGUUGUGAAUGGUUAAUACUUCCUCCUUCAGGUUUCUUCUCUAGUUGAGAUCCUACUUAUCACUUUUUUUAUGAGUCAUGGCAAGGGGGGAUGUGAUUGACAGACUAUAUCCUUACAGUAGUAUCUACUUUCAUACUCAUUAUAGUUCAAUGUUUUAGAUUUUUCAGUUAAUAAGGUUAGGUAAAGGUUUUCCCCUGACGUUAAGUCCAGUCGUGACCGACUCUGAGGGUUGGUGCUCAUCUCCAUUUCUAAGCUGAAGAGCCAGAGUUGUCCGUAGACACCUCCAAGGUCAUGUGGCCAGCAUGACAGCAUGGAGCGCCGUUACCUUCCUGCCGGGGCGGUACCUAUUGAUCUACUACUUUCAGUUAAUAUGCAGCUAGAAAACUAAACUGAUAUGUAAUGUAAUCCAUUUAUCCAUGUACCAAGACUGCCAUGUAUACCUGACACCAUGGAUAAUAGCAAACCCUAUACAAACAGUCCUCGAGUUAUGAAUAAGAUAGGUUCUAUAGAUUUGUACUUAAGCUGAACUUCUAUCUAAACUGGAACAGGUAACUUUGAAAAAUUUGGCUUGUUGUGGAAAUAAGGAUUGAUGAUAAAGCUUCAGUGGAGACACCUUUUUCCAUGAUAAUUCUUUAAGAAGUAAAUUUCCCUUCCGAUGGGUAGAUUUCUUUCACUUCUUGUUGUCUCACCCCUAUUCUUAACUAAGAGUCAUUUGGAAGUCAGAGAUUUUCAACUCAGGGACUGUCUGUAUUUGAUUAUCAUUUGACCAGAAGCAUAAUGCAUAAUUGACUGCAGGGAGGCUCACAAACACUUUCGGGGUUUGAAUAUUUUUGGAGCAUGGGUAAAUGAAACAAUGGAUAUUGAAUCUGAGAAUAAUGGGUCAUACUGUUGCUCCUGUUGUGUUCAUUUGCACAUCUCCCAUUAGGUAAUUGAGUUAAUCCUUCUGCAGAAGCCAUAUCUAUGUGUUCUAAUGCUCCAUUCAAUUAGGAUUGCAUAAAGCAGAGCAGGUACUCAUGUGGUAGCUCCCCCUUGUUCAUUUUCAAUUUUGUCUUGUAAAAGAUGAAUGGUCAAUUUCUGAACUUCGAGGAAUCCGAAUUAUACCCUCCCAUGUUUCACUGGGACACAGGUGGCUAAGUGACAUCAGAAGGUGACUAAUAAAUAAGGAUGUAUAGAGAUAACAGGAAAGGCUGUUGCAGUUGACUUCUGCCUGAUCAUACUGGGAAGAGCAAGGUUCUUCUCUCUACUUUUACUGCUGAGAAUUGAGUGCCAACUACUAUUGCACUUUCAAUUCAGCAACUGAUGUAAAUUGAACACAAAGGGGGGAAUGGGAGAAGUACAGAGAAAGUGGGAGAUUUUAAAGGCAUCUUAAAACUGGGAUUGGUCCAUACUGUGUCUUCCAAAUGGGGACAACUUAAGAAUUGCCUGGACUAAGUAUAGAAGACUUUUUACUUGCAUAAAUUUCCCUUUCAACUCCUGGAGAAUGAGAGAGAUGCAAACUAAUACGGAGAUGACAGAGUAGGCAUGUGGGAUUAAUAUGGCUGAAUAGGGGUUGAAUGUUCUGCAAUAUUUUGGUUUGUACAACCCACAGAAAAUCCCUGCUAAGAAACAAAGCUAGACACUCUAUUUCUCUUUUUUACUCAGAGAGCUAUUCAGGUUAAUAGGACAGUGAAGUUGGCUCAGUGGAACAUAACAGGAAAAGCAAGUGCCUACUUAGCAGGGGACAUAAGGGAAUCCAAGGCAUUUUAUCUCUUGCAUUUGAGAAAAAUGAUUUUGCAGCCAAGAAAGUGCCAAUGCCUGCAUUUCCUUUGAAAAAUAAGAAUUUGGCAAGGGCUUAGCUUGGAUUUAUAAUAAUGUUUUCAAAGCAGAGUACAAGGAAACCAACACAAAAGAAGGCAUCACUAGGGAUAAGUGAAGACCUCCUUGAAAUUAAUGUUUGAUAACAAUUUAUCAGCAAUUGCAGCAUUUUGUUUUAUUUG